CUACUUCCAAUGAAUCAAGAGUUUCUUGGAAGUUGCCAUAUCAGGGCAUUCAUUACAGGGAUGUUUAAUGAGUAGAAUAUUUGUCAUUUGCAUAGAGAGAGGCUUCAGCAGUGAUCCCAGUGAUCUGUGAUAGUCAGGUACUUGGGCACUCUGUGUAUCUGUUGGGUGAAGGAGGGGAAGCAGAUGGGACCAAUUUUUCACAAUGUCUGACAUUAAAUUUCCUAUAUGGUCUUCCAAACAGAGAUUCAAAGAGGCUGGAACCUACCUCUCCUGCUGACUGUGAAUGAAGACUGCAGUAUAUUCAGCUACAAGUCCAUCUGCUCUUUAACUUUUUUUUUUUUUUUUUAAUUCUAUCUAAGAGUGUUUUUCCUUUGAAGUUUCCAGCACCAUUUAUGAAGGCUCAAAAGGAGUAUUAUUCAUAUGUUUCAGAUGAGGAAAGCUGAACUGUCAAAGUAACAUCUGACUUGUGAGUAGCCAGUAUUCUCCAAGGCAUCAGCAUUUAAGAGGACCUGAGAAAAGAUCCUGUGCCUACCAGGAAAUUUCACUGAUCUCAUCAAGCCACAAAACUCAGGAAGGAGGAAAAAUCUGCACAAAUUAAGAAGUGCCCAGUAGAUCAUGCUGUCUUGUUGAAAACUCCAGUGGUAACUGGGCUUCUAUGGGAUUAUUUUUAGCAGUAAAAGAGUAGAUGGUGUAAGAUAAGUGAAGAGGGAUUCCAUAAAUAGCUGCAUUUCAAUUGCCUGUUUGACAUAAACUUAAUUGUUACAACAAACGGCACAAAAUGACAAAAAUGAACACCUUUCUACUCAGAAGAUAAACUGUUUUUAAAUAGAAAGGAAUGAAACCUAGGUCUAUCAUUUUUAGAAUCCCAGUGAACUAGAAUGGACAUGACUGGAGAAGCAGAGACACCUGAGCAGCUUUGAAGACAUUUCUCUGGCAUGUUCUCACUGACUCUGAGACCUAUUUCCAACCACAGUGUCUGCUCAUCCUAGUGCAGCACCCUUCAAACCUACCUUCCCCAAAGGAUUCAGCAGACAUGGUUGAGAAAAGAGCGAAGCACAAGCUGGAUCUACAGAGCCUCAGGAGGAAUCCCAGGCAAACAAUGCACUUGGGGGAAGACAUCUCAACAACAGCCAGAUCUGCUCUACUCUGCCCGCAGCCUUGGUAAGGCACAGCAUCACAGGAAGAGGAACGCGAAUUCCUGUGAGACAAGUACUGGUGCAGAGGAGGGGGGAAGACAAGACUUGAUCAUAUAAAGAAGAGUUAGGCAGGUUCCUAAGUAGAGCUGUGAGACAACAAGAGAGAGGCACAGUUGUGUUUUUAUGCACAGAAGGCCAGAGUUGAGUCUGGUUUCUUGAGGGUGAUGUCCUGGCAAGUACUCUGGCACACAUGCUGUAGUAUAGUGUUCCAGUGCAUCCGUACAUCCAUCUAUGCUGCAAAUGGCACGGGAGUGAGAUUUUAAUAAAAGAAGAAGGAAUGAAACCA
rnacentral:lncRNA from 1 species